rnacentral:lncRNA from 1 species
AAGGUUUAAAACCAAUUGGGACUUGUUUGAGUAUAAUAUGCUCUGGGUCUAAAUUGUGGUAGACAAAGACGUCCCACCACUUUACAGCAAUCUGUUUUCCAAGGCAUGGAAUAUAUUCAUAAUUAUUUAUAUUGUUAUCAGAUAUAGCAAAUGACCAUUUGAGUAUCCAAGGUAUUUGAUACAAAGCAACAAAAUAUAAAUGAUAGUUUAUCUUGGGAUCCUUCUCAUUGUGCUCAAUGAAUUUUUCUUGAGAUGCUUGCAAGGUGUCAGGCAUUAUUUGGGAUAGAGAGCACCAAAUUGUGAACCAAUUGGGGAAAGGUUCGGUUACCGCCAUUUUGAAUUGGAG